rnacentral:rRNA from 1 species
UACGUAGGGUGCAAGCGUUGUCCGGAAUUAUUGGGCGUAAAGAGCUCGUAGGCGGUUUGUCGCGUCUGCUGUAAAAACUCGGGGCUUAACUCCGGGCCUGCAGUGGGUACGGGCAGACUAGAGUGCGGUAGGGGAGACUGGAAUUCCUGGUGUAGCGGUGAAAUGCGCAGAUAUCAGGAGGAACACCGGUGGCGAAGGCGGGUCUCUGGGCCGUAACUGACGCUGAAGAGCGAAAGCGUGGGGAGCGAACAGG